CCGAGUGAGGGCCCCCGGCCCGACCUCCAACCCUUUGUUGACCGAAACCUGUUGCCUCGGGGGCCACCCGGCCUUCGUGCCGGGGCCCCCGGUGGACCGACCCAACUCUGUGUCUGUACGUCGGAGUACUUGAUGAAUCAAUUA
rnacentral:misc_RNA from 1 species